rnacentral:rRNA from 1 species
UAAACUGAGAGUUUGAUCCUGGCUCAGAGCGAACGCUGGCGGCGUGCUUAACACAUGCAAGUCACACGGAGUUGCGGAAGGGUAACUGGAAGCAACUAAGUGGCGGACGGGUGAGUAACGCGUAGGUGACCUGCCCUUGUGCCUGGGAUAACCACUGGAAACGGUGGAUAAUACCGGAUAAGACCACGACUAGGUAAUAGCAGUGGGAAAAGGAGAAAUCUGCACAGGGAUGGGCCUGCGUCCUAUCAGGUAGUUGGUAAGGUAAAGGCUUACCAAGCCUAAGACGGGUAGCCGGUCUGAGAGGAUGGACGGCCACACUGGAACUGAGACACGGUCCAGACUCCUAC